rnacentral:rRNA from 1 species
GACGAACGCUGGCGGCGUGCUUAACACAUGCAAGUCGAACGGAAAGGCCCGGCGUUUGCGGGGUGCUCGAGUGGCGAACGGGUGAGUAACACGUGAGUAACCUGCACUUGACUUUGGGAUAACUCCAGGAAACUGGGGCUAAUACCGGAUAGGAGCUCCUGCUGCAUGGUGGGGGUUGGAAAGAUACGGCGGUUGGGGAUGGACUCGCGGCUUAUCAGCUUGUUGGUGGGGUAGUGGCUUACCACGGCUUUGACGGGUAGGCGGCCUGAGAGGGUGGCCGGCCACCUGAGUCCUGCGGUACGGCCCAGACUCCUACCGGACGCAACAGUCGAGAAUAUUGCGCAAUGAGCGGACGCCUGUUGCAGCAACGCCGCGUGCGGGAUGACGGCCUUCGGGUUGAAAACCGCUUUCGCCUGUGCCGAAGCGUGAGUGACGGUAAUGAGUAAAGAAGCACCGGCUAACUACGUG